GUUCUCUCCGAAAUAGCUUUAGGGCUAGCCUCGAGGUAAAGAGUCAUGGAGGUAGAGCACUGUUUGGACUAGGGGCCCUUCUCGGGUUACCGAAUUCAGAUAAACUCCGAAUGCCAUGUACUUAUACUCGGGAGUCAGACUGCGAGUGAUAAGAUCCGUAGUCGAAAGGGAAACAGCCCAGACCACCAGUUAAGGUCCCCAAAUAUAUGUUAAGUGGAAAAGGAUGUGGGGUUGCUUAGACAACCAGGAUGUUGGCUUAGAAGCAGCCACCAUUGAAAGAGUGCGUAAUAGCUCACUGGUCGAGUGACCCCGCGCCGAAAAUGUACCGGGGCUAAACAUAUUACCGAAACUGUGGAUGAACCUCUUUAGAGGUUCGUGGUAGGAGAGCGUUCUAAGGGCGGUGAAGUCAGACCGGAAGGACUGGUGGAGCGCUUAGAAGUGAGAAUGCCGGUAUGAGUAGCGAAAGAAGGGUGAGAAUCCCUUCCACCGAAUAUCUAAGGUUUCCUGAGGAAGGCUCGUCCGCUC
rnacentral:rRNA from 1 species